rnacentral:rRNA from 1 species
UACAGAGGGGGCAAGCGUUAUUCGGAAUUAUUGGGCGUAAAGAGCUCGUAGGCGGUUCGGUAAGUCGGAUGUGAAAACUCAGGGCUCAACCCGGAGACGCCAUCCGAUACUGCUGUGACUGGAGUCUGGUAGGGGAUCACGGAAUACCUGGUGUAGCGGUGAAAUGCGCAGAUAUCGGGAGGAACACCAAUGGCGAAGGCAGCUCGCUGGGACGGUACUGACGCUGAGACGCGAAAGCGUGGGGAGCAAACAGG